GACGAACGCUGGCGGCGUGCUUAACACAUGCAAGUCGAACGGGUCUGCCCUGUUUUUUGCGGGGUGGGUCAGUGGCGAACGGGUGAGUAACACGUGAGUAACCUGCCCCUCACUUCUGGAUAACCGCUUGAAAGGGUGGCUAAUACGGGGUGUUCUGGCUGUGCCGCAUGGUGUGGCUGGGAAAGAUUCACUUUUGUGGUGUUUUGGUGGGGGAUGGGCUCGCGGCCUAUCAGCUUGUUGGGGGGGUGAUGGCCUGCCAAGGCUUUGACGGGUAGCCGGCCUGGGAGGGUGGGCGGUCCAAAGUGGAAUGAGGUUCGGCCCCGACUCCUGGGGGGGGAAACCGUGGGGGGUAUUGCACAAUUGGCGGAAGCCUGAUGCAGCGACGUCGCGGGGGGGAUGGAGGCCUUCGGGUUGUGAACCUCUUUCGCCGGUGAAGGAGGUCCUGCUCUUUGUGGUGGGGUUGACGGUAGCCGGGUUAUGAAGCGCCGGCUAACUACGUG
rnacentral:rRNA from 1 species